rnacentral:rRNA from 1 species
CCUACGGGAGGCAGCAGUGGGGAAUAUUGGACAAUGGGCGCAAGCCUGAUCCAGCCAUGCCGCGUGGAUGAUGAAGGCCUUAGGGUUGUAAAAUCCUUUCGGCGGGGAAGCGGUACCCGCAGAAGAAGCCCCGGCUAACUUCGUGCCAGCAGCCGCGGGAAUACGAAGGGGGCUAGCGUUGCUCGGAAUCACUGGGCGUAAAGCGCACGUAGGCGGCUUUUUAAGUCAGGGGUGAAAUCCUGGAGCUCAACUCCAGAACUGCCUUUGAUACUGAGAAGCUUGAGUUCGGGAGAGGUGAGUGGAACUGCGAGUGUAGAGGUGAAAUUCGUAGAUAUUCGCAAGAACACCAGUGGCGAAGGCGGCUCACUGGCCCGUCUGACGCUGAGGUGCGAAAGCGUGGGGAGCAAACAGGAUUAAUACCCUUGUAGUC